rnacentral:rRNA from 1 species
AGAGUUUGAUCAUGGCUCAGGAUGAACGCUAGCUACAGGCUUAACACAUGCAAGUCGAGGGGAAACGACAUCGAAAGCUUGCUUUUGAUGGGCGUCGACCGGCGCACGGGUGAGUAACGCGUAUCCAACCUGCCCACCACUUGGGGAUAACCUUGCGAAAGUAAGACUAAUACCCAAUGACGUCUCUAGAAGACAUCUGAAAGAGAUUAAAGAUUUAUCGGUGAUGGAUGGGGAUGCGUCUGAUUAGCUUGUUGGCGGGUAACGCCACAAGGCGACGAUCAGUAGGGGUUCUGAGAGGAAGGUCCCCCANAUUGGAACUGAGACGCGGUCCAAACUCCUACGGGAGCA